rnacentral:lncRNA from 1 species
CAGAUUCUGGCCAUCAGCUUUUGUGGCACAGACGACUGUGCAAUUAAUGGAAAAUUAAAAACUAAAUAUCCAUUUCUUCUAGGACACGAAGCAGCUGGAAUUGUAGAGAGUAUUGGAAAAGGAGUGAGAAAGGAUGAGAAUAUUUAGAAGAGUCCUUCUCGCUCUGGGAAUACCAAAGGAUCACUUGGGGACCUUGCAGCAGAUUCUCCAGAUAUUUAGGUGAGAAAAUUGAGGCUUAUAAAGAAGUUGUGGAUGGACCACUUAGUUUGGAAGGUGGCAGAGUCAUGACCAGAACCAACUUGUGUUUGAAACCAAAGC